rnacentral:rRNA from 1 species
AUUCCUACGGGAGGCAGCAGUGGGGAAUAUUGCACAAUGGGCGAAAGCCUGAUGCAGCAACGCCGCGUGAAGGAAGACGGUUUUCGGAUUGUAAACUUCUGUUCUUAGUGAAGAAUAAUGACGGUAACUAAGGAGCAAGCCCCGGCUAACUACGUGCCAGCAGCCGCGGUAAUACGUAGGGGGCAAGCGUUAUCCGGAAUUACUGGGUGUAAAGGGAGCGUAGACGGUUAAGUAAGUCUGGAGUGAAAGGCCGGGGCCCAACCCCGGGACUGCUCUGGAAACUAUUUAACUUGAGUGCAGGAGAG